CGGGGCUCCGGGACCAACUCCAUCCUUGGCGCGGCGCUGGGGGCGGCAGACGAAGCCGGCGGGACUCUCCCUGUCGGCUCUUGGGAUCUGGCAGAGCUAAAUUAACACAACUUGUGGCGCUGGUAGUUCAGCAGAACAUCACCGUGAUGGGCAGGCGGGUGGAAGCCCGAGGACAUCCCGGCACAGGGUUGCCCGGUGCCCACAUGAGGAAGGCUGUCCCGACGGGGACAGGACAGCACACACACGAUAUUUUAUAGAAAUCCGGCUACAGAAAGGGCUGACUUUCCUGAACCCACGACCGAUGUAAAAAAGACGUUUAGAGGGAGGGAGACCAUCCUCAAACUACUCCGUAGUCAUUGUCAUCAUCAAGCCUGUCUAUUUGAUUUAAAAACACCAUGAUAAGGAGCACGCUCUCACUGAACGCUGUCUCCUCAGCUUUCUUUUUUCCCCCUCCCAACCACACAGCUUUGUACUCUCAGAUUUGCGGGCUGCUGUUGUCGGUUUGAGUUGCUUGGCAUAAGCAUCGUUUUGUGUGUCUCCAGCGAGAGGGGUAACGCUGGGUGAACAGAGGGCUGCGAGCAGGAGCACAGGGACUGCGGGGCUGAACUUCGGGAAGGAACGAAGUAAAAAGAAGAGAGAGAGAAUGAGAGAGAGUCUCCCAGGCAGCUUGAUCCCAUUAGCUCCGUCCUUGGGUUGCAUAUUUAUACGGUCUAGGAGGUGAACAGAUGGACUAUCAAUUUAAUUCCAUCUUCAACACCAUCAGAGAUUGAUUUUCUACUCGCUUUUAAUUUUGCCAUAAUUAAUUAGAUCAUUACAACUGUUUUCUAUUGAUCUCCCUAUUUAAACCUCAGAUGCAAAGGGACUUCGGCAGAUCCUUUAAAAGCACAGGAGGGAAAAGGAACAGAGGGGUUUGCAAACUUUCUGAAGGUUUUUUUUCUAGUUUUAACUUAGAACAUUUUCGGUGCAGAAUAGCGAAAAAACGUCUCUGUGGCCUUUCCUUUUAGGAGGCCUUUUUCGUUGCCUUUAUAUUUUUCCUUUGCGUUUGGGUGAAUCUUUGUCAUAUUUAUAUAUAGUAUACAGCAUAUAUAAUGGAUUUAAUUGAUUCGAUUACGAAAACAUAAGCUUGCACGUGUAUAUGCGCCUAUAUAUUCACAUACAACGUGUUUAAUAUUGAGAUUUACAGAGAUGGUGCACACACAUUUAUAAAUGGGGAAUCUAUCGACAGACGAGAUGUGGCUUUCUGAAGGGCAAAUAUUUUUAUUUGCCUCCCGUACGUGUUUGUCUGUGUCCCUGAAUUCCUCUUUAGAUGGGGGAUAUUUCACCGUGCGACUCCACCAGAAAUGACAAAGGAAAACCGGCGCUGCCAGCUCCGGUUCCCAACCUCGGUUCCCAGAGCCCGCCGCAGCCUUUCUUUCCAAGCCUCCCCUGCAGCAAACGAUUAGCAGCCGGGGCAACAGCACGGCUCUGUGCUGGCAGUCGGUGACGUUUGCAUUUU